GCAGUGACUGAGGGGGACUUGUUCUGUGAUAAACAAAUGACUUCAAACAAGAACCUCAGGGCAUCCAAAAGAGGUGAACCUGAGAAGAGCAGUAAGAGUAAGCGUUCAAGUACUGGUGCUAUGACCAACAAGGUGGAAGAUCCUCCCCUGGUUCGAAUCACCCUGAAUGAAGAGUGGGCGAACAAGAUGCAAAACAUAUCAUAAAUGUUGAAUUCUAAGAAAGAGGGGGGAGGGGGAAAGUAAAGGCCAAAGAACAAAAGACAAAUAAGGGCUGCACAAGACGAAAAACCAGAGGUAGCGCUAAGGUGCGAGGGGAAUGUAAAAACAACAAUAGUUCCACAUGAAGGUCCUUAUAUGGAAUGUCAAAA
rnacentral:lncRNA from 1 species